GUAUAGGGGAAGUGAGUCAUUAGUCCAUUUUGUUGAUAAACAGAUGGCAAGAGGUUCACAGAUAAUAACAUUACACCAUUUUGUUGAAGGACAAAUGGCAUGUAAUAAUCCUUUAAGCACUAAAUGCCUUCUGGAUUUGUAGAGUAGUUUGCUAUAUUUAUGUUACUUCUCUUUCACUAACCAAACUUCCUCCUAGUUUUAUGAUUUUUCCCUUGUAGUUGAUAUGUUCACUAACAUAAUGAUAGAGUAUAUAUAACAUCUUUUGCAAAUACACCUAACAGCAAUUGUACACGAGAUUGUACAAUUUUCGUGUAUUGCUCAGUUGCUUGAACUUUCCUAAACAUAUGUUAUCCGAUGAUGAUUACUCGACCACUUAAUAAAUAAAGUUUUUAGCGAUCAAGACAUUUUCAUGGAAUUAAUACACAUCAAGUCCAGAUGGUUGCAUAUCUUACAAAUUGAAGGCCUUACCUACUCUUUGGAAAAUUGGAAUGUGGGAAGAUGGUAAAAUGAUUCGUGAAGUGUGACAAAAUUCUUUUGGCUGCAAAAGGUGGUUUGCUAUAUCUCUUGAAAUUUUUCUGUAACUAACUUUUGUAUUAAUUUUUAGGGUUUUACAUAUACUUGAUGUGUUAGUUAACAGUUCUGAUAAAGAAUGGCAGUGAUCCACGUAAAAUACCUUUAACUAGUAAUUGGUCUCUUUCUUCUGGCGUUAUAGAGAAGUUGCUGUAUAUAUUGUAAUUUUCUUUCACUAACUAACCUUUCCUCUAAUUUUCUGAUUUUUAACUUCCACUUGAUACGUUAGUUAAAACUUAAUGGCAUAGUAUAGGGGAAGUGAGUCAUUAGUCCAUUUUGUUGAUAAACAGAUGGCAAGAGGUUCACAGAGUAAUAACAUUACACCAUUUUGUUGAAGGACAAAUGGCAUGUAAUAAUCCUUUAAGCACUAAAUGCCUUCUGGAUUUGUAGAGUAGUUUGCUAUAUUUAUGUUACUUCUCUUUCACUAACCAAACUUCCUCCUAGUUUUAUGAUUUUUCCCUUGUAGUUGAUAUGUUCACUAACAUAAUGAUAAAGUAUAGGGGAAGUGAGUCAUAAGCCCAUGUUGUUGAACAAAACAUGGCAAGAGAGCCAGUGAGUCAUAACAUUACACCAUUUUGUUGAAGGACAAAUGGCAUGUAAUACUCCUUUGGGCACUAAAUGCCUUCUGGACUUGUAGGGUAGUUUGCUAUAUGUAUGGUACUCAUCUUUCACUAACCAAUCUUUCUUCUAAUUUUAUGAUUUUUCUUUUUUAGUUGAUAUGUUAACUAACAGAUAAUGAUAUAGUACAGGGGAAGUGAGUCAUAAGCCCAUCUUGUUGCUCAAUAAAUGGCAAAUGGAGUAAAGAGCAAUAAUAUUACAUCAUUUUGUUGAUGGAGAAAUGCCAUGUAAUAUCCCUUUCGGCAAUAAAUGCCUCCUGGUCUUAUAGGGUAGUGUGGCUGUAUGUGUUGUAUUUGUCUUUCACUUUUCCGCCUUUCGCUUUUAUUUAAUAUCUUAGUAGACACAUUCUGACAAAGUAUAAGGAAAGUGAGCUGUAAGACCAAAUUUUGUGAUAUCCCUGCUUAUAUGUGUAACAAACUUAUUUGUUUGGUGAUAUGUUUCGCGGUUACUAUGCAUUAAGAUUUCCCUUUCAUAUUCCGCUGUUUAAUGUUGCUGCCCUGCACUGAUGGUAACCAUUAGAAACUUAUUUUAAUUUUCUAGUUUCACAAUAAUUUUUGUCAUUGUGAUCUGUGGUUACUUGUCCAUAAGCAGUUUUCUUAAAGGCUACUCAUUAGUUGUUUUGUCAAUGUCAAAUGGCAAUCCCUGAAAGUUGUUUCCUUCUUCAAAAUUAACCAAUCGAAGGACUGCAUAAAAGUAUUGAAUUACAGUACAGUUAAAUACCAGAUAUAUCAGUAUAAAUGUGUUAUUGUAUUGAAACGUGCAGCAGUGGAAAUGAAUGUUUACGUUAAUAGCAGUUAUGAAAGUCCUUCUAUGCAGGAUAGCUGUGUGUUGGAAUUAAAAAAGAAAAAGAGAGUGGAGCUGUAGGACCUGGUUGGUGUUGUGGUUAUGGUGGUGGCCAGGGAUAAAUGAUCUGCUGUUAUGAAAGAGAUUACCUAUUUCUCUGCUACCUCCCUUCUUCAUCUUCUUCUUCUUCUUCUUCUUCUCCUCUCUCUCUCUCUCCUUUUUUUUUAAAUACCUACUCUACUUCUGAUUUGUUGAGAUUUAUUCAAAGGUAAUUUUAGCUGCUUCUUGUGUUUACGUUGCACAUGACAUUGUAUGAAAUAAAUUGACAAUAUUUGUAGUCUAGUUUAAUGUGUUGUUCUUUAAUUGUUAAAUUAUUUUUAAUGUUAUCAAUGUUUAUGAAAGAAGUAGUAAAAUUACAUUAGUGUAACAGUCUUUUAUUUUCGGUAAAAAGGUGGAAAAGGAAAAGGUAAUCUGUAUAGGAGUUUCAUUUUUAAGUGUUUUGAGUUUGAUCACUGGUAUUGAGGACAUUGUUAUGCUCCUAAGGAAUGCGUACUUUUUCUAAAAAAGAAAAUAAAACAUUACCCCACUUAGCUUGCUUAUCAAUAAAAUCAUACUUUCCACCUUAUAUUGGUGUGCUUUUUUGUGAUCAGUCUUUUUUUUAACUAAGACACAUUUUUGUGAUUUGUACAAAACUUCUUAAAACUUAUAUACAGUAUUUUGAAAUUACAUUUUAUACAAAGUUUUAAACAUCUUACUAUAAAAAUAUGUAAUCCAUGCAGUUUUUGAAACCUCAGAAUUUGUUAUUGUUCAAUAAUGGUUUCAAUAUUUUUUCCAUGUAUAAGUAAAUGUAAGGAUCAAUAAACUAAAAUUAUAAGGGAUUGCACUAUCCUUAUAGCACUUUCUGAUAUACCAUGCUUACUUUGUGGUUCCUCUAUGUAUGGUUAGUUAAGAAUAUGUUGUAAAUAUCCCACUAUUGCUUUCAGAAGAUAGACCUUGAAGAAACUUAAUAUGAUACACUUGUAUACUGAUUGGUGUUUGGAACACAAUUUGUUUAAUACAUAUGUUCAUAAAUUGUUGUCUGCAGUAAAAUUGACUGUUGUAUCUUGAAGUAAAAUACAUAUAUACUACAUAUUCUGAACCACACGAAUAUUGCUCUGAAGUUGCUGGCAGCUACAUUCAUUUUGCAAAUGCCAAAUGCUAAUUUUUGCAAUUAGCAAAGAAAUAACCACAUCCAACAGGUUAUCUUGAUAGACAAUAAAAUUCAGAAUAAGACAGUAGCUGUCAUAAAUAUUGACUAGUUGAAUGGGCAGAAAAUAAAGUUUUAAUCAUGAAAGUUUUAACUGUAAAAAGAAAUAUGUUGUGCUUAAUUGGAUUGUCUUCCUGUUGAAGAUAGCUUGCUCAAAUGUUCAGGCCUGACAGCGAUGGCCAUGUUCUUAGUAAUAAGUUACAUGCAAAGUUUGGCAUAUAUGUAUGUAGCUAAUUGCCAGGCAUUGCUUUUCAAAACAUCACUUUUAGACAAUAUUAGAAAAAUAAGUAUCCACGGUAAUGUAGUUGAAAUAAAUGGCACACUCCAAAGAACAAGUUGAAGUACCAUGUUCCUUAUUUGUGCCUAUAUUCAACGCGAUGCCUCUACCAUAUAGUGAGUGGUUAUUUUCACUCAUUCUCUUCUUCAUAUUUUACUCAACCUUUUCUAAUAUUGUAUCAUUCAUUGUAACUUCUGUGUGUAAUUGAAUUAAACAGUUCACGUAAUUUGUCACUUAAUGCCCAUAUACUAUGUAAAGAACAGUGCAUGUAUAUUAAACUUCACUGCUGUUUCACACUUAAUUAGUAGUAUGAUUCAGACAAUAAUUACAGUUGAGACACAAGAUUUUUAAAAGGCUUGAAAAAUAAUUUGAAUACCUCAGGUGAAGGAAAGGCCAUAACAAACAGAAAUAGUGACAAAAAAAAUAUCUAAGAAACCUCUACCUUGAGUGUUACAUUCUCAGUUCCAAACUUGCAUCUGCUAAGUGAGCUGUGAUUUGUUUGUUCAUUCUUUUUUGAAAUGAUAUGUCUAGAUCUUGUUAUGGAAGGCCAGUGUAAGUUCAGUCCCCCCCCCCCCCCCCCCCCCCCGAACUCUGAAAUCCCACACUAUGCAAUCAUAAGAACACGUAAUAUACUAGAAUUAUUGUGAAGAUAAUUUCCCAGCAUUAUUUCCAGAAAAUGACAACAUGUGCCUAAAUGACUGAUGUAACAAAUGAACUUGCAUUUUCUGUAAAUCUUACUUAGUAACGUACUACAUUUUUAUAAAUCUUUCUUACCAAAUUUUUUAUGAGAAAGGACAAAGUAAAUAUCAUUCCUCAAAAUGCCCCCUGCACUUAUCUAACGGAAGGAAGAUUAAGGAAAGAUCACAGAACCUACCCUGCAGCUUCCCAGUUGAACAAAAAGAUAAGCGUAUUGGACAAUAGGUGAUGGAGUGUUGAAGGAGACUGAUGUGACUGUGGUGCAUUGGUGCAUACAUAGACUCAAGGUGUUAGAAAUGUUGUGUGUCAGUAAUAAUAAUAAUAAUAAUAAUAAUAAUAAUGGAACAACAAGGAAACCAUGUACAAUGUUCUUCAAAUUAAUAAUGACUGCUAAAGUAACUAUGUUCACGAGAACAAAAAUAUAUAUGCAAAUGGCCAUUCUUUUUCUGUCCCAUCACUUUUGCUAUCUAAGCUUAAUCUUCAGAAGGAGAAGAUGAGGGAAGGCGGUGUUGUAGGGCAAGAAAAGAGAUGAGCAAGUCACUCACAUGAUUAGCCCAGAUUAGUAACAACAGAAAUGGUAAUUAUGCCAUCUGAAGAAUUGCAGUAAAAAUGGAAUGCAAUUUGUGACUGACCUGCUCCUCAAUUUUGCUGACAGUGCCUUUCCUUUUUGCUUUGCUUUCUUUUUUACAGUUAUCAGUCUAUAAAUUAGGCUAUUAGUGUUUCAGUAUUUGUUCCUGGUAAGUGUUAACCAUUUAUUUUAAUUUGCAACAUUACACAUAAUGAAAGCUUUUCAAGGUCUAUCUUCUCUACAAUUAAAUUUGUGAUAUAACAUGCAAGGGCAAAUAUGAAAAUGUCAUUAUGUGAUAUUUAUGAAGUAUAAGACUGCAGAGUUAGCCUUCUCUAUCUACUAUUGUCUUUCCACCUUCUCAUUUUGGAAACUGUAAAUAGAUGUACAUAAUAUAUAUGAAGACCAAAAACUGAAAAAUAUAACUACACGGGUUGCAGACAUGGGCCCCAAAAAGAAAACAUGAAGAAAUUGCUUCAUAAUUGAAAGUCUGAGACAUUUUUCAUCUGAGGAUAGUAGUGUUCAUUUAAUUGGGAUGUUGACCAAGAGCACAACUAUUCAAAACAUAAGACUAUUCCUGAUAUAAUCAAUGCAUUUUUGCAACUGUCACUUAGGUGAAAAAUUUAUUAUAAAAGCUUAAUUUGUAUGUGGUGAAAUAAGUUUCUUGUGUGUCUGCAAGUUUCAUUAGCAUUAAGUCUUUAAAUGUGAGAAGGGGCCCAUUUCUCCAUCCAUUGUCUGUAUGUAAUAAUUAAUUUUUCACCUUGGGGCCACAACUUCACUCCAUUCUUUUAUGAAAUUAAAUUCUGUUUGAUCAUUAUAUGUAAUUUGCUCAAUACGUCAAUUACUACACUGAGAUAUAGUGAAUAUCUGGGUAGUGUUGUUGACAACUUACGAUUUUCCAUACUAACUCUUUUUUAGAGAUUUAUCCACUCAUAUUUUAUGAGCACUUGUAUGCUGUAGUCAUUCAUGUAACUCUUAUAGAGCUCCACAAGGGUGCCAUGUUGUUUAUCAAAUUUAAAGAAUGUUGGUCAUUUUUUCCAUACUUGAAGAUGUUCUCUCUCUUUCUGUCUGUGUGUGUGUGUGUGUGUGUGUGUGUGUGUGUGUAAAAUUACCGUUUUUUCUGUUAAGACAAACUCAUAUUGAUAGUGCCUUUAACACAUCUGAAAUGUCUUGUCAUUUCUGAUGUUAAUAACAGCUGCCUAGAGUUCCUCAAAUUACCUGUGAUUUUCUUGAAACCAGCGCAUCUCUACAUUUAUCCAUACUGGUGUGAACUUUCUUAAACCAGUUGUGUGUUCUACCCAUUUUUGUAAAUACUUUGGUUGGGUUGGCAGUAAUAGCUUGAACUAUUCACAUGUGGUAGUUGCCUUGUAACCAUAAAUUUGUGAAAUUCCUGUUCCUUGAUAUGUACAUAAAAAUACUUUGAAAGAGAACCAUUUCAAAGUAAAAAAAUCUAGGAAUUCGUGUAUAAUAUUCUCAAAGUUCAUAUGGAAAAGGAAAUAUUGUGAAUCUAAGAAGUUGUGGCUCCAGUGGUAAAUGCUUUAAAUCUAUUGAAAUAUUUGUAAUAUGGGUUGUUUCAUCUGUUUAAGAUUCAUUGGAAUCUUAUGCAGUCAAGUUUCCAAAUUUUCAUAGAUUUUUAAUUCAGUUACAUUGUUCUGAUAAAGUUACGGGUAUAAUCUUUGUAAUUAACUUUGUUCAUAAUCUUUGUUUUUUUUUUAUUUUAAGAAUAAACGAAAGGAGUUAACUAGCUUUAAGUAUGGAGUGUGGAGCAAUGCUCCGGUGUGGACAUUUGUUCAUUGCAUUUUUUCAUUGUGCCAUUGUUGAGGUAUGUUUAUUACUUACCUGUAAUAAUAAACAUUUGUUAAUAUCUACAGCAUGUGAUUCCCUCAUCUUUUACAAAUUUUAUAUAUCAGUCAUUUUGUACAGAAAUGUAAAUUAUAUAAAAAAACUUAUUUUCAAACUAUUUGAUCAGUAUCCCACUCUGUGCACUUAAAUUCUCUGAGAACAUUGUUAUUGCGGUGUUGAUGCUUAAAUAAAUUAUUUGAAAACAUUCCUAGGUAACUCUGUCCCUCUUCACUCCUCAAUACCCCAUUAUGCCCAGAUUUUUAAAAACUAGUACCACAUUUUAUUUAGUUCGUAGCUACAGGAAAUGGAACAUGCUUGUGAGUGCAAUCUGGUAAACCCUUUGUACUCAGCAAUACAUCUUUGUUGAGACACUCGACUGCUUUUGUAAACUUGAAGUGAAGUAAUAGUUUUCCCUGUGAGUGAAAUGGAGUUAAGUCACUCCAAAGCAUGUACAGGAGUUAAAUAAAAUUAUGUAAAAAUUGA